rnacentral:rRNA from 1 species
ACAUGCAGAGAACUUUCCAGAGAUGGAUUGGUGCCUUCGGGAACGUCUGACACAGGUGCUGCAUGGCUGUCGUCAGCUCGUGUCGUGAGAUGUUGGGUUAAGUCCGUAACGAGCGCAACCCUUGUCCUUAGUUACCAGCACGUUAUGGUGGGCACUCUAAGGAGACUGCCGGUGCAAACCGGAGGAAGGUGGGGAUGACGUCAAGUCAUCGUGGCCCUUACGGCCUGGGCUACACACGUGCUACAAUGGUCGGUACAAAGGGUUGCCAAGCCGCGAGGUGGAGCUAAUCCCAUAAAACCGAUCGUAGUCCGGAUCGCAGUCUGCAACUCGACUGCGUGAAGUCGGAAUCGCUAGUAAUCGUGAAUCAGAAUGUCACGGUGAAUACGUUCCCGGGCCUU